rnacentral:snoRNA from 1 species
UGGCUAUGAGGACAAAAAGUGCACUGAACUACUUUGAUUAAUUUAUACGCUAUUCUGAGCCAACA